CAGCAGCCGCCGCGGGAAUACAGAGGGUGCGAGCGUUAAUCGGAUUUACUGGGCGUAAAGCGUGCGUAGGCGGCUUUUUAAGUCGGAUGUGAAAUCCCUGAGCUUAACUUAGGAAUUGCAUUCGAUACUGGGAAGCUAGAGUAUGGGAGAGGAUGGUAGAAUUCCAGGUGUAGCGGUGAAAUGCGUAGAGAUCUGGAGGAAUACCGAUGGCGAAGGCAGCCAUCUGGCCUAAUACUGACGCUGAGGUACGAAAGCAUGGGGAGCAAACAGGAUUAGAUACCCCAGUAGUCCCUGUCUCUUAUAC
rnacentral:rRNA from 1 species